rnacentral:lncRNA from 1 species
GUCCAUGGAGACUCCCACUCAUUGGGAGUUUGCAUCACUUAAUUAGUGGACAUAAUCCACAUCGUAUUUUUAGAGAUCUAGCUCGAAAAUACGGCCCUGUAACGUACUUGGAACUCGGGGAAGUUCCUACCGUGAUCAUAUCAUCACCUUCUACGUCCAAACAAGUUUUAAAAACUCAUGAUCUCGCCUUUGCUAGUAGGCCACAAUUUACAUCCACUGAUAUUGUCAUGUACAAUAAUAAAGAUAUUGCAUUUGCAGAAUAUGGUGACUAGCUCGAAAAUACGGCCCUGUAACGUACUUGGAACUCGGGGAAGUUCCUACCGUGAUCAUAUCAUCACCUUCUACGUCCAAACAAGUUUUAAAAACUCAUGAUCUCGCCUUUGCUAGUAGGCCACAAUUUACAUCCACUGAUAUUGUCAUGUACAAU